rnacentral:rRNA from 1 species
UACGUAGGGUCCGAGCGUUGUCCGGAAUUAUUGGGCGUAAAGGGCUCGUAGGCGGUUUGUCACGUCGGGACGUGAAAACUCAGGGCUCAACCCUGAGCGUGCGUUCGAUACGGGGCAGACUAGAGGUAUGGCAGGGGAGAACGGAAUUCCUGGUGCAGCGGUGGAAUGCGCAGAUACUCAGGAGGAACACCGGUGGCGAAGGCGGUUCUCUGGGCAUUACCUGACGCUGAGGAGCGAAAGCCAGGGGAGCAAACAGG